UACGUAGGGCGCGAGCGUUGUCCGGAAUUAUUGGGCGUAAAGAGCUUGUAGGCGGCUUGUCGCGUCUGCUGUGAAAAUCCGAGGCUCAACCUCGGACUUGCAGUGGGUACGGGCAGGCUAGAGUGUGGUAGGGGAGACUGGAAUUCCUGGUGUAGCGGUGAAAUGCGCAGAUAUCAGGAGGAACACCGAUGGCGAAGGCAGGUCUCUGGGCCACUACUGACGCUGAGAAGCGAAAGCAUGGGGAGCGAACAGG
rnacentral:rRNA from 1 species